UCCACGCCGUAAACGAUGAUUACUCGAUGUAUGCGAUACACAGUAUGCGUCUGAACGAAAGUAUUAAGUAAUCCACCUGGGGAGUACGUCGGCAACGAUGAAACUCAAAGGAAUUGACGGGGCCCGCACAAGCGGAGGAACAUGUGGUUUAAUUCGAUGAUACGCGAGGAACCUUACCUGGGCUUAAAUGCAGAAUGCAUUUACUCGAAAGAGUAAUUCCC
rnacentral:rRNA from 1 species